GUAGGGAAUUUUCGGCAAUGGGGGGAACCCUGACCGAGCAACGCCGCGUGAACGAAGAAGUUAUUCGUAAUGUAAAGUUCUUUUAUCAGGGAAGAAAGAGGAAUUUGACGGUACCUGAGGAAUAAGCUCCGGCUAACUACGUGCCAGCAGCCGCGGUAAUACGUAGGGAGCGAGCGUUAUCCGGAAUUAUUGGGCGUAAAGGGUGCGUAGAUGGCAUAGUAAGUCUUUUGUAAAAAUGCUGGGCUCAACCCAGUAGGGCAAAAGAUACUGCAAAGCUAGAGUAUGACAGAGGCAAGUGGAACUACAUGUGUAGCGGUAAAAUGCGUAAAUAUAUGUAAGAACACCAGUGGCGAAGGCGGCUUGCUGGGUCGAUACUGACAUUGAGGCACGAAAGCGUGGGGAGCAAACAGGA
rnacentral:rRNA from 1 species